GACGAACGCUGGCGGCGUGCUUAACACAUGCAAGUCGAACGGAAAUGCCCUGCUUUUGUGGGGUGCUCGAGUGGCGAACGGGUGAGUAACACGUGAGUAACCUGCCCUUGACUUUGGGAUAACUUCAGGAAACUGGGGCUAAUACCGGAUAGGAGCUCCUGCUGCAUGGUGGGGGUUGGAAAGUUUCGGCGGUUGGGGAUGGACUCGCGGCUUUUCAGCUUGUUGGUGGGGUAGUGGCUUACCAAGGCUUUGACGGGUAGCCGGCCUGAGAGGGUUACCGGCCACAUUGGGACUGAGAUACGGCCCAGACUCCUACGGGAGGCAGCAGUGGGGAAUAUUGCACAAUGGGCGGAAGCCUGAUGCAGCAACGCCGCGUGCGGGAUGACGGCCUUCGGGUUGUAAACCGCUUUCGCCUGUGACGAAGCGUGAGUGACGGUAAUGGGUAAAGAAGCACCGGCUAACUACGUG
rnacentral:rRNA from 1 species